rnacentral:rRNA from 1 species
ACGGCAGCACGGGAGCAAUCCUGGUGGCGAGUGGCGAACGGGUGAGUAAUGUAUCGGAACGUACCUUUCAGUGGGGGAUAACGUAGCGAAAGUUACGCUAAUACCGCAUAUUCUGUGAGCAGGAAAGCAGGGGAUCGCAAGACCUUGCGCUGAUUGAGCGGCCGAUAUCAGAUUAGCUAGUUGGUGAGGUAAAGGCUCACCAAGGCGACGAUCUGUAGCGGGUCUGAGAGGAUGAUCCGCCACACUGGAACUGAGACACGGUCCAGACUCCUACGGGAGGCAGCAGUGGGGAAUUUUGGACAAUGGGGGCAACCCUGAUCCAGCCAUGCCGCGUGAGUGAAGAAGGCCUUCGGGUUGUAAAGCUCUUUCAGCCGGGAAGAAAUCACAUGGGUUAAUACCCUGUGUGGAUGACGGUACCGGAAUAAGAAGCACCGGCUAACUACGUGCCAGCAGCCGCGGUAAUACGUAGGGUGCGAGCGUUAAUCGGAAUUACUGGGCGUAAAGCGUGCGCAGGCGGUUUGUUAAGAUAGGCGUGAAAUCCCCGGGCUCAACCUGGGAACUGCGUUUAUGACUGGCAGGCUAGAGUAUGGCAGAGGGGGGUGGAAUUCCACGUGUAGCAGUGAAAUGCGUAGAGAUGUGGAGGAACACCGAUGGCGAAGGCAGCCCCCUGGGCCAAUACUGACGCUCAUGCACGAAAGCGUGGGUAGCAAACAGGAUUAGAUACCCUGGUAGUCCACGCCCUAAACGAUGUCAACUAGGUGUUGGGUGGGUAAAACCAUUUAGUACCGGAGCUAACGCGUGAAGUUGACCGCCUGGGG